AAUUAAAUUAUUAUUUUUAUUGUUAUUAUAAUUUUUUAUGAAAAAAAUAUUUUUAAGAUUUAUUAAAUUUUUGAAUUUUUUAAUUUUAUGAUAGUUAAAAGUAUUGUGAAAGAAAAAUUUAAUUAUUAAAAAGAAAAAUUUAAUUUUUGUACCUUGUGCAUCAGGGUUUAUUAAAAAUUACUUAAAAAUUUAAUAGUCUCGAAUUUAAAAGGGCUAAAAAAUUAAUAUUUUUAUUGUAGAAUAAAUAUAUUUAAUAAUUUUUUAGUAAUGAAAUGUUAUUCGUUUUUAAAUAUAUCUAGUUUUUUAAGAAAUAAAUUUAAUUUAGUAAUUAGUAAUAUAGUUAUUUAUAAAUAUUAUUAUAUUUUUAAUUAAAAAAAUUUUUAGGGAUGAGCUUAAAAAUUAAUUUUUAUUAAAAAAUAUUAAAUUAAAAAGAUUUAGGAUUAGAAAUUUUCAUAAUUAAAGUGUGUUAUAAUUUAUUUUUAUUUAAAUAUAAUUUAUAUUUUUUAUAAAUAUUUUAUUAAAAUAUAAUUUUUAAUUUAAAAAUAUUAGUAAUAAUGAUUAAAUUAGUAUAAUUUAUUAAAAUAGUAAAUAUAUUUAUUAGGUUAGUUAAAGGAAUUCGGCAAAUUAUUUUUCACCUGUUUAUUAAAAACAUGUCCUUUCGUUUAUAAUUUAAGGUCUAGCCUGCCCACUGAAAAUUUAAAUGGCCGCGGUAUUUUGACCGUGCUAAGGUAGCAUAAUCAUUAGUUUUUUAAUUGAAAGCUGGAAUGAAGGGUUGAAUGAAAAAAUAGCUGUCUCUAAUUAAUUUUUUUAGAAUUUUAUUUUUAAGUUAAAAAGCUUAAAUGUUUUUAAAAGACGAGAAGACCCUAUAGAGUUUAAUAUAAAAUGAUGGUUUUUAAGUUAAGAAUUUAAUUUAAAUAGUUUAGUUUAUAUUUAAUUGGGGUGAUUAAAAAAUUUAAUAAACUUUUUUUUUAUUUUUAUACUAAUUUGUAAAUUUAUGAUCCAAUUUUUUUGAUUAUAAGAAUAAAUUACCUUAGGGAUAACAGCGUAAUUUUAUUAAAGAGUUCUAAUCGAAAAUAAAGUUUGCGACCUCGAUGUUGGAUUAAAAUAUGUGUAUGGUGUAGAGGCUAUAGCACUAAGUCUGUUCGACUUUUAAAAUUUUACAUGAUCUGAGUUUAAACCGGUGUAAGCCAGGUUGGUUUCUAUCUUUAAUAAAAAAAUAUAUUUUAGUACGAAAGGACCAAAUAUAAAUAAAAAUUAUUUAUAAUUGAAAAAAAG
rnacentral:rRNA from 1 species